AGAGUUUGAUCCUGGCUCAGGACGAACGCUGGCGGCGUGCUUAACACAUGCAAGUCGAACGCUGAAGCCCAGCUUGCUGGGUGGAUGAGUGGCGAACGGGUGAGUAACACGUGAGUAACCUGCCCCCUUCUUUGGGAUAACGCCCGGAAACGGGUGCUAAUACUGGAUAUUCACUUGCCUUCGCAUGGGGGUUGGUGGAAAGGUUUUUUCUGGUGGGGGAUGGGCUCGCGGCCUAUCAGCUUGUUGGUGGGGUGAUGGCCUACCAAGGCUUUGACGGGUAGCCGGCCUGAGAGGGUGACCGGUCACAUUGGGACUGAGAUACGGCCCAGACUCCUACGGGAGGCAGCAGUGGGGAAUAUUGCACAAUGGGCGAAAGCCUGAUGCAGCGACGCCGCGUGAGGGAUGGAGGCCUUCGGGUUGUAAACCUCUUUCGCUCAUGGUCAAGCCGCAGCUUUGGGUUGUGGUGAGGGUAGUGGGUAAAGAAGCGCCGGCUAACUACGUGCCAGCAGCCGCGGUAAUACGUAGGGCGCGAGCGUUGUCCGGAAUUAUUGGGCGUAAAGAGCUCGUAGGCGGCUGGUCGCGUCUGUCGUGAAAUCCUCUGGCUUAACUGGGGGCUUGCGGUGGGUACGGGCCGGCUUGAGUGCGGUAGGGGAGACUGGAACUCCUGGUGUAGCGGUGGAAUGCGCAGAUAUCAGGAAGAACACCGGUGGCGAAGGCGGGUCUCUGGGCCGUUACUGACGCUGAGGAGCGAAAGCGUGGGGAGCGAACAGGAUUAGAUACCCUGGUAGUCCACGCCGUAAACGUUGGGCACUAGGUGUGAGGCUCCUUUCCGGGGGUUUUGCGCCGUAGCUAACGCAUUAAGUGCCCCGCCUGGGGAGUACGGCCGCAAGGCUA
rnacentral:rRNA from 1 species